UACAGAGGUCUCAAGCGUUGUUCGGAUUCAUUGGGCGUAAAGGGUGCGUAGGUGGCGUGGUAAGUCGGGUGUGAAAUUUCGGAGCUUAACUCCGAAACUGCAUUCGAUACUGCCGUGCUUGAGGACUGGAGAGGAGACUGGAAUUUACGAUGUAGCAGUGAAAUGCGUAGAGAUCGUAAGGAAGACCAGUGGCGAAGGCGGGUCUCUGGACAGUUCCUGACACUGAGGCACGAAGGCCAGGGGAGCAAACGGG
rnacentral:rRNA from 1 species